rnacentral:rRNA from 1 species
UUGCAGUUAAAAAGCUCGUAGUUGGAUUUCGGAGUGGGCCAGUUGGUCCGCCGCAAGGUGUGUUACUGACUGGUUUGCUCUUCUUCGCAAAGACUGCGUGUGCUCUUGAGUGAGUGUGCGUAGGAUUUACGACGUUUACUUUGAAAAAAUUAGAGUGUUCAAAGCAGGCUAUUGCUUGAAUACAUGAGCAUGGAAUAAUGGAAUAGGACUUUGGUCCCAUUUUGUUGGUUUCUAGGGCCGAAGUAAUGAUUAAGAGGGACAAUUGGGGGCAUCCGUAUUUCGUUGUCAGAGGUGAAAUUCUUGGAUUUACGAAAGACGAACAACUGCGAAAGCACUUGCCAAGAGUGUUUUCAUUAAUCAAGAACGAAAGUUAGAGGAUCGAAGACGAUCAGAUACCGUCCUAGUUCUAACCAUAAACGAUGUCGACUAGGGAUCAGCGGGCGUUAUCGUACGACCCCGUUGGCACCUUACGGGAAACCAAAGUUUUUGGAUUCCGGGGGAAGUAUGGUUGCAAAGCUGAAACUUAAAGGAAUUGACGGAAGGGCUCCACCAGGAGUGGAGCCUGUGGCUCAUUUUGACUCAACACGGGAAAACUU